GACGAACGCUGGCGGCGUGCUUAACACAUGCAAGUCGAACGGAAAGGCCCUGCUUUUGUGGGGUGCUCGAGUGGCGAACGGGUGAGUAACACGUGAGUAACCUGCCCUUGACUUUGGGAUAACUUCAGGAAACUGGGGCUAAUACCGGAUAGGAGCUCCUGCUGCAUGGUGGGGGUUGGAAAGUUUCGGCGGUUGGGGAUGGACUCGCGGCUUAUCAGCUUGUUGGUGGGGUAGUGGCUUACCAAGGCUUUGACGGGUAGCCGGCCUGAGAGGGUGACCGGCAACAUUGGGACUGAGAUACGGCCCAGACUCCUACGGGAGGCAGCAGAGGGGAAUAUUGCACAAUGGGCGGAAGCCAGAUGCAGCAACGCCGCGUGCGGGAUGACGGCCUUCGGGUUGUAAACCGAUUUCGCCUGUGACGAAGCGUGAGUGACGGUAAUGGGUAAAGAAGCACCGGCUAACUACGUG
rnacentral:rRNA from 1 species